UACGUAGGUGACCAGCGUUGUCCGGAUUUACUGGGCGUAAAGAGCGCGCAGGCGGUCGUUCAAGUCGAGUGUGAAAGCCCCCCGGCUCAACUGGGGAGGGUCACUCGAUACUGAUCGACUGGAAGGCAGGAGAGGGAAGCGGAAUUCCCCGGUGUAGUGGUGAAAUGCGUAGAUAUCGGGAGGAACACCAGUGGCGAAGGCGGCUUCCUGGUCCAGCACCGACGUUCAGGCACGAAAGCGUGGGGAGCAAACAGG
rnacentral:rRNA from 1 species